UUACGGGAGGCAGCAGUGGGGAAUAUUGGACAAUGGGCGCAAGCCUGAUCCAGCAAUGCCGCGUGUGUGAAGAAGGUCUUCGGAUUGUAAAGCACUUUCGACGGGGACGAUGAUGACGGUACCCGUAGAAGAAGCCCCGGCUAACUUCGUGCCAGCAGCCGCGGUAAUACGAAGGGGGCUAGCGUUGCUCGGAAUGACUGGGCGUAAAGGGCGCGUAGGCGGAUGACACAGUCAGAUGUGAAAUUCCCGGGCUUAACCUGGGGGCUGCAUUUGAUACGUGUUGUCUUGAGUUCGGAAGAGGGUCGUGGAAUUCCCAGUGUAGAGGUGAAAUUCGUAGAUAUUGGGAAGAACACCGGUGGCGAAGGCGGCGACCUGGUCCGACACUGACGCUGAGGCGCGAAAGCGUGGGGAGCAAACAGGAUUAGAUACCCCGGUAGC
rnacentral:rRNA from 1 species